CUGGUYGAUCCUGCCAGUAACGAUACGCUUGUUUAAAGGACUAAGCCAUGCACGUCUAAGUAUACUUUUAUAUACGAGGGUUGWCUGCGAAUGGCUCAUUACAACAGUAAUCAUCUAUUUGAUGGUAAAAACUACAUGGAUAACCGUAGUAAUUCUAGAGCUAAUACAUGCCAAAAACCCCGACUGUUUGGAAGGGGAGUAUUUAUUAGAUUCAAAAAUCAAGGCAGGGGGCAACUCCUGGAAAAUUGGUGAUUCAUGAUAACUUUUCGGACCACAUGGCCUAGUGCUGGUGGCGCAUCAUUCGAAUUUCUGCCCUAUCAACUUUCGAAGGUAGUAUAGAGGACUACCUUGGUAAUAACGGGUAACGGGGUUUUAGGGAACGACUCCGGAGAGUUUGCCUUAAAAAUGGCAAACACUUCCAAGGAAGGCAGCAGGCGCGCAAAUUACCCAAUCCGGAAUCCGGGAGGUAGUGACAAAAAAUAUCGACACAGGGUCCAAUAGGGCUUUGUGAUUGGAAUGAGCAAAAGUUAAAAUGCAUAGCGAAAGCCAUUGGAGGGCAAGUCUGGUGCCAGCAGCCGCGGUAAUUCCAGCUCCAAUAGCGUAUGUUAUAGUUGCUGUAGUUGAAAAGCUCGUAGUUGGAUUUCGUUUGCAGACAAGAACUUUUUUUACAAAAAGGACUUUUUCUUGUGAUUUCUCUAUACGUGUAAACGUGGGAUGGAUUACAAGACUGCAAAAUACUAAGCUAGAAGUUGGACAAAAAGGAUGGUUAAUUCGAUUCUUUUUUAUUUGUGUAAAAAGCAAAUGGAUUAUUCCGAGUCAAAUUGGAAGAAUGGUCUACUUCUUUGUUUACUGUGAGUAAAUUAGAGUGUUUCAAGCAGUCCAAAUAGGACAUUGCAUACAAUUAGCAUGGGAUAAUGGAAUAGGACUUGGGUUCUUUUUUCAUUGGUUUUAAAAAUAUACAAGGGCCAGAGUAAUGAUUAAAAGGGACAGUCGGGGGUAUUGGUAUUUUGAUGUCAGAGGUGAAAUUCUAAGAUUUUCAAAAGACUAACAGGUGCGAAAGCAUUUGCCAAGGAUGUUUUCAUUAAUCAAGAACGAAAGUUGGGGGAUCGAAGACGAUUAGAUACCGUCGUAGUCUUAACUAUAAACGAUGCCGACCAGAGAUCAGAGGAUGUUGAAUGGAAGACACUUUUGGAAUCUUGAGCGAAAGCACAAGUUUUUGGGUUCUGGGGGGAGUAUGGUCGCAAGACUGAAACUUAAAGGAAUUGACGGGAGGGUACACCAGGUGUGGAGUUUGCGGCUCAAUUUAACUCAACACAGGAAAACUCACCAGGGCAAGACAUUGUAAGGAUUGACAGAUUGAUAGCUCUUUCUUGAUUCGAUGGGUGGUGGUGCAUGGCCGUUCUUAGUUGGUGGAGUGAUUUGUCUGGUUUAUUCCGAUAACGAACGAGAUCUCAUCUUAUUAAAUAGAGGUAUACAAAUGGGUAUUUAAAGAUGUAUGGCAUAUGAGUUUUAGCAGUAGCAAUAUUGCUGAGGCCAUAGAGUUGUACCUUGCUCAUUUGGAUAUAUGGGGUUAAAAUGUAAAAAGUUUUAAUCUUGACUCUUCUUAAAAGGACUGUUGGCGUUAAGCCAAAGGAAGUUUGAGGCAAUAACAGGUCUGUGAUGCCCUUAGAUGUCCUGGGCUGCACGCGUAUUACACUGAUAAGAGCACCGAGUGUGGAUUAUAUAUUUUAAUUGUAAAAGGUUAGGAUAUGUAAGAUCCUGGGCCGAAAGGUUUGGGUAAUCUAAAAAGCUUAUCGUGCUGGGGAUUGAUGAUUGGAAUUAUUCGUCAUGAACGAGGAAUAUCUAGUAAGCGUGAUUCAUCAAAUCGCGUUGAUUGCGGCUCUUCCCUUUGUACACACCGCCCGUCGCUGCUACUGAUUGGAUGUCUCGGUGAAUUUGCUAGAGUUUUGUUAUGGGUGCUAUGCGAAAGUGUGGUAUUGUAAUGAGACAAAGUCAAAUAAAUCGAUGUAUCUAGAGGAAGCAAAAGUCGUAACAAGGUUUCCGUAGGUGAACCUGCAGAAGGAUCA
rnacentral:rRNA from 1 species